GGCCUCGUGGCCUAAUGGCCAAGGCAUCGGUUUCCGGUACCGGAGAUUCCAGGUUCGAGUCCUGGCGGGGUCG
rfam:Isaria fumosorosea ARSEF 2679 scaffold_34, whole genome shotgun sequence.